CCUACUGGGCUGAUAAUCAGU
rnacentral:miRNA from 1 species